rnacentral:ncRNA from 1 species
CGAAAACAAAAAAAUUAUCACGAAAACUUUUGUUUGGGUAGAGCACUCAAUGGGCUAGGGUGGCCCCCAUUUCGCUUUACCAACCCCAGGGAAACUCCGAAUACAGGCCGUCAUCCUUAGUACAGACAGACUGAUUGGGUGCUAAGAUCCAAAGUCGAGAGGGAAACAGCCCAGAUCGUACGCUAA